AAGUCGUAACAAGGUUUCCGUAGGUGAACCUGCGGAAGGAUCAUUAACACGUAUCCAACGUUAAACAACCCUGUGAACUUUCAGACGCUCUUGUAGCCCAGGAGGAACAGCAAUCCCGGUAAAUCAAUGGCGGAAAAGUUUUGAUUCGGGACCUCUGUCCAAAAGGUAUCAAGUUACAAUCGAGCUAGGAGCAGUGGCAUGGUUUCCCUAAGCAGUGCAGAAGGAUCCACUGAGUAAGGAUAACGCAGACAUGUCACAGGGCUUUACGCCCCUUCAUUCACCCCUUGCCUAAUCAAGCCCCGCGGAAACGCCGGGCAAAAAAAUCUGAACAACUGUUAACAAUGGAUAUCUUGGUUCUC
rnacentral:misc_RNA from 1 species